CUCAGGAUGAACGCUGGCGGCGUGCCUAAUACAUGCAAGUCGAGCGAACAGAUGAGAAGCUUGCUUCUCUGAUGUUAGCGGCGGACGGGUGAGUAACACGUGGGUAACCUACCUAUAAGACUGGGAUAACUCCGGGAAACCGGGGCUAAUACCGGAUAAUAUUUUGAACCGCAUGGUUCAAUAGUGAAAGACGGUUUCGGCUGUCACUUAUAGAUGGACCCGCGCCGUAUUAGCUAGUUGGUAAGGUAAYGGCUUACCAAGGCGACGAUACGUAGCCGACCUGAGAGGGUGAUCGGCCACACUGGAACUGAGACACGGUCCAGACUCCUACGGGAGGCAGCAGUAGGGAAUCUUCCGCAAUGGGCGAAAGCCUGACGGAGCAACGCCGCGUGAGUGAUGAAGGUCUUCGGAUCGUAAAACUCUGUUGUUAGGGAAGAACAAAUUUGUUAGUAACUGAACAAGUCUUGACGGUACCUAACCAGAAAGCCACGGCUAACUACGUGCCAGCAGCCGCGGUAAUACGUAGGUGGCAAGCGUUAUCCGGAAUUAUUGGGCGUAAAGCGCGCGUAGGCGGUUUCUUAAGUCUGAUGUGAAAGCCCACGGCUCAACCGUGGAGGGUCAUUGGAAACUGGGAAACUUGAGUGCAGAAGAGGAGAGUGGAAUUCCAUGUGUAGCGGUGAAAUGCGCAGAGAUAUGGAGGAACACCAGUGGCGAAGGCGGCUCUCUGGUCUGUAACUGACGCUGAUUGACGCUGAUGUGCGAAAGCGUGGGGAUCAAACAGGAUUAGAUACCCUGGUAGUCCACGCCGUAAACGAUGAGUGCUAAGUGUUAGGGGGUUUCCGCCCCUUAGUGCUGCAGCUAACGCAUUAAGCACUCCGCCUGGGGAGUACGACCGCAAGGUUGAAACUCAAAGGAAUUGACGGGGACCCGCACAAGCGGUGGAGCAUGUGGUUUAAUUCGAAGCAACGCGAAGAACCUUACCAAAUCUUGACAUCCUUUGACCGCUCUAGAGAUAGAGUCUUCCCCUUCGGGGGACAAAGUGACAGGUGGUGCAUGGUUGUCGUCAGCUCGUGUCGUGAGAUGUUGGGUUAAGUCCCGCAACGAGCGCAACCCUUAAGCUUAGUUGCCAUCAUUAAGUUGGGCACUCUAGGUUGACUGCCGGUGACAAACCGGAGGAAGGUGGGGAUGACGUCAAAUCAUCAUGCCCCUUAUGAUUUGGGCUACACACGUGCUACAAUGGAUAAUACAAAGGGCAGCGAAUCCGCGAGGCCAAGCAAAUCCCAUAAAAUUAUUCUCAGUUCGGAUUGUAGUCUGCAACUCGACUACAUGAAGCUGGAAUCGCUAGUAAUCGUAGAUCAGCAUGCUACGGUGAAUACGUUCCCGGGUCUUGUACACACCGCCCGUCACACCACGAGAGUUUGUAACACCCGAAGCCGGUGGAGUAACCUUUUAGAGCUAGCCGUCGAAGUGGGAC
rnacentral:rRNA from 1 species